rnacentral:rRNA from 1 species
CUGCAGCUCAAGUGGUGACCACUAUUAUUGGGCCUAAAACGUUCGUAGCCGGUUUGGUAAAUGCCUGGGUAAAUCGUGUAGCUUAACUAUGCGAAUUCCGGGUAGACUGCCAAACUUGAGACCGGGAGAAGCUAGAGGUACUCCUGGGGUAGAGGUGAAAUUCUGUAAUCCUGGGGGGACCACCAGUGGCGAAGGCGUCUAGCUAGAACGGGUCUGACGGUGAGGAACGAAGCCCUGGGGCGCAAACCGGAUUAGAUACCCGAGUAGUCC